GGCGAACGCUGGCGGCGUGCUUAACACAUGCAAGUCGAACGAGUGGCGAACGGGUGAGUAAUACGUGAGUAACUGCCUGCUAGAGGGGGAUAACUAUUGGACACGAUAGCUAAUACCGCAUACUAGUAGAUGGACCUGCGUUGGAUUAGCUAGUAGGUAGGGUAAUGGCCUACCUAGGCAACGAUACAUAGCCGACCUGAGAGGGGGAUCGGCCACACUGGGGCGGAGACACGGCCCAGACUCCUACGGGAGGCAGCAGGAGGAAAUCUGCGGCAAUGGGGGGAACCCUGACCGAGCAACGCCGCGUGAGUGAAGGAGGUUUUCGGAUCGUAAAGCUCUGUUGUUAAGGAAGCGGUACUUAACCAGAAAGGGACGGCUAACUACGUGCCAGCAGCCGCGGUAAUUC
rnacentral:rRNA from 1 species